GACGAACGCUGGCGGCGUGCCUAAUACAUGCAAGUCGAGCGAAGCGGCGGAUGGGUGAGCAACGCGUGGGUAACCGGCCAUUAAGUCUGGCAUACGAUUUGGAAACAGAUGCUAAUACCGGAUACAAAAGGAAGGACCUGCGAUGCAUUAGCUAGUUGGUAAGGUAACGGCUUACCAAGGCGAUGAUGCCUAGCCGGGCUGAGAGCAUGAUCUGCCACAUUGGGACUGAUACACGGCCCAGACUCCUACGGGAGGCAGCAGUAGGGAAUCUUCCACAAUGGACGAAAGCCUGAUGCAGCAACGCCGCGUGUGUGAAGAAGGUUUUCGGAUCGUAAAGCUCUUUUGUUGGUGAAGCGGUAAUCACCCAGAAAGUCACGGCUAACUCCGUGCCAGCCGCCGCGGUAAUUC
rnacentral:rRNA from 1 species